UUGGAAGAGACCUCAAAGAUCACCUAGUUCCACCCUUCAUGCUCAUAUAUCUCUUUGGUCUGAAUCGUAACACCAUUAUUGUCACAGGUGCACAGCACAAGAGGGAGCUGAAGAACAUAGGUUAUGGGACUUGCCCAGGCUGAUGAGCAAAGUUGCAAUUAUGAAUAUGAAUAAUUGAGGUUGGCUUUCAUAUCAGCAGCCAGAGGACACGCUGCUGAAGACAGACACUUAAAAGUGAGAGGAGACCCAAGUUUUAAGCAGGUUUUCUCGUUUGAAAAUGGGCAUCCUGCCAUGCCAGAACCAUUACUGCUCUCCAGACUGCAGCUUAGUCCUAGGGCUAAAUGCAGUGCCAUGGAAGCAGAUACCUGGGGGAUGUUUGGAGAUGCACAGCUGCUGCCUGUGGUUGACGUCCAUGAUGUGUGACUGAGCAAAGGCUGCUUUCUUCCCAGCUCCUUCUGUUUGUAGCACUUAAAGUCAGAGAAGCAAUAAUGAGUCUCUGUCUUCAAGAUAAAAGGAAUAUCAGCUUUCACAGAUCUUUUUUUUUUCCCAAUUGUCAGAAAUCAGGUCAAGAGGCUGCGUUAAACAAUUGCUGCCUGGACUUUCCUUCAAAAAGGAAAGUACAACUUGAGUUUUGUCCUUUGCACCACACUGCCUUUUCUUAGGCUCCUUUUUGUGAUGAAAGGAGGACAUAGAUGCUGCCUGGAUGUACUGGUGAACAGUUCACACCUGCCUCACUGAUUACAGUCUGAGGGAUUAUCCUAACCCUGCUCCAGUGGUCUUCAGUGCUGUUUUGAAAUCAGGAUGGAGUUGAAGAAAAUUAGGAAGGUCUGUGAGACCAGCUCUUCAUGCAGUAUGGAGCAGUACGAGCUGGAGCCUCUUCUGGCUGAUCAUCAGGGUGAAGCAAACCACUGCAUUGUUACUUGGAAAUUGGCCAGGUUUGCAGCUGAAGCAUCAACACAAGCUGUCUAACAGCAUGUUGAUGCUACUGUCUUUGGGAAUGAUGCAGAAGAGUUCAUUAUUAGUGAGGUUCUGGAAACUGAGACCCACAGAUCUUUGAGAAGAUUGCCUUGGGAAGUCUUGCAGUAACACCAGUGGAUGCCCCUUCCAAACAACCUUUGCCAUCAGAAAGCUGUUGGGGGAGGAUUUCUGCAGAGGUGAGAGUUUCAGCUCUUAUCUAGAUUGCCUCCAU